GCUCUUAUGGCUUAGUGGUUAGAACGUCAACCUCAGAUGCAAGAGGUCGCGGGUUCAAACCCCAGCCGAGUCACA